rnacentral:rRNA from 1 species
UACGGAGGAUGCGAGCGUUAUCCGGAUUUAUUGGAUUUAAAGGGUGCGUAGGCGGAUUUUUAAGUCAGCGGUAAAAUGUCCGGGCUCAACCCGGGCCGGCCGUUGAAACUGGGGAUCUUGAGUGGGCGAGAAGUAUGCGGAAUGCGUGGUGUAGCGGUGAAAUGCAUAGAUAUCACGCAGAACUCCGAUUGCGAAGGCAGCAUACCGGCGCCCGACUGACGCUGAGGCACGAAAGCGUGGGGACCGAACAGG